CCUACGGGGGGCAGCAGUGAGGAAUAUUGGUCAAUGGACGAGAGUCUGAACCAGCCAAGUAGCGUGAAGGAUGACUGCCCUAUGGGUUGUAAACUUCUUUUAUAUGGGAAUAAAAUGUUCCACGUGUGGGAUUUUGUAUGUACCAUAUGAAUACGGAUCGGCUAACUCCGUGCCAGCAGCCGCGGUAAUACGGAGGAUCCGAGCGUUAUCCGGAUUUAUUGGGUUUAAGGGGAGCGUAGGUGGAUUGUUAAGUCAGUUGUGAAAGUUUGCGGCUCAACCGUAAAAUUGCAGUUGAAACUGGCAGUCUUGAGUACAGUAGAGGUGGGCGGAAUUCGUGGUGUAGCGGUGAAAUGCUUAGAUAUCACGAAGAACACCGAUGGCGAAGGCAGUUCACUGGACUGAAACUGACACUGAGGCUCGAAAGUGUGGGUAUCAAACAGGAUUAGAUACCCGGGUAGUC
rnacentral:rRNA from 1 species